CUACGGGGGGCAGCAGUCGAGAAUCUUCGGCAAUGGGCGCAAGUCUGACCGAGCGACGCCGCGUGCGGGAUGAAGGCCUUCGGGUUGUAAACCGCUGUCGAGGGGAAUGAAGUGCAGGUGGGUUCUCCCAUCUGUUUGACAGAUCCCUGGAGGAAGCAUGGGCUAAGUUCGUGCCAGCAGCCGCGGUAAGACGAACCAUGCAAACGUUAUUCGGAUUCACUGGGCUUAGGCGGUGCUUAGGCUGAGGUGUGAAAGCCCUCAGCCCAACUGAGGAAUUGCGCUUGAUACUGCAUGACUAGAGAAUGAUAGAGGCGGGUGGAACUGAUGGUGGAGCGGUGAAAUGCGUUGAUAUCAUCAGGAACACCAGUGGCGAAGGCGACCCACUGGGUCAUUUCUGACGCUGAGGUACGAAAGCUAGGGUAGCGAACGGGAUUAGAUACCCGAGUAGUC
rnacentral:rRNA from 1 species